AUUGAACGCUGGCGGCAGGCUUAACACAUGCAAGUCGAGCGGAGCGAGGGUGCUUGCACCUUAGCUUAGCGGCGGACGGGUGAGUAAUGCUUAGGAAUCUGCCUAUUAGUGGGGGACAACAUUCCGAAAGGAAUGCUAAUACCGCAUACGCCCUACAGGGGAAAGCAGGGGAUCUUCGGACCUUGCGCUAAUAGAUGAGCCUAAGUCGGAUUAGCUAGUUGGUGGGGUAAAGGCCUACCAAGGCGACGAUCUGUAGCGGGUCUGAGAGGAUGAUCCGCCAAACUGGGACUGAGACACGGCCCAGACUCCUACGUGAGGCAGCAGUGGGGAAUAUUGGACAAUGGUCGGAAGCCUGAUCCAGCCAUGCCGCGUGUGUGAGGAAGGCCUUUUGGUUGUAAAGCACUUUAAGCGAGGAGGAGGCUACUUAGAUUAAUACUCUGGGAUAGUGGACGUUACUCGCAGAAUAAGCACCGGCUAACUCUGUGCCAGCCGCCGCCGUAA
rnacentral:rRNA from 1 species